rnacentral:lncRNA from 1 species
UUUUUUUUUUUUAUUGGGAAUCCUGAGCACCUGUACUGUUUUACCUCCCUAUUCUCCGCUAAAGACUUUACUUUGGGAAGAAGUGUUUGGAAGAUACAGCAAGACUUGCUGCUCUACAAUAAAACAAUUAUAUGAGAACUUCUGAGAAGUUGCCAAGAACAAUCAAGAAAGAUGUUGCUUUUUAUGCAGAACACUCACUGAAGAAUAGCUUUGCAUCUUAGUCAAUGAGCAGAUUCUCAUUAUUUAUUUAGAUUCAUCUAGCAGUUAUUCUCUGAAGAGCUCAUUAGAGUAAAUUAUUCCAAUAUCAUAUUCACUUACAGACUCAUGUUAUUUAUCCCUAGGUUUAUUUUCAUAUUUUUGCAGAUUUUCUCCACUAAAUAUGUCUUAAUUCUAGUCACAUUUCUCUAUCCCCACCACCUCAAGCCUACCCCAGCCUAUUACUUUUCACUUAGAUGAAUACAAUUUCCUGUAAAGUGGGUUCCACCUCCACUUUUGCCUCCUCCAUCUGUUCUCUACUCCACAGUCCCCAUGAUGUCUUUUCUGCAAAGAAGCCAGCUGGGAUUUUAAUAAGGAUUACAUUGAAUUGGUAGAUCAAUUUGGGGAGUAUGCUUAUCUUAAAAAAUAUGAAGUCUCUGAUCCAUGAAUGUGAAUGUCUUUCCACUUAUUUAGGUCUUUUCUAAUUUCUUUCAACAGUAUCUUAUAGUUUUAACACUACACGCGUUGUAGUUCAUUUAUUAAUUUUACUCCUACGUAUUUUAUUCUUUUAGAUGCUAUUGCAAGUGGAAAUUGUUUUCUUAAUCUCAUUCUCAGAUUGUUCAUUAUUGCUACGUAGAAAAAUAGUCGAGAAUCCCUGGGUGGCUCAGCGGUUUAGUGCCUGCCUUCAGCCCAGGUCGUGAUCCUAGAGUCCCGGGAUUGAGUCCCACAUCGGGCUCCCUGCAUGGAGCCUGUUUCUCCCUCUGCCUGUGUCUCUGCCUCUGUGUGUGUGUGUGUCUCUCGUGAAUAAAUAAAUAAAAUCUUUAAAAAAAAGUGAAAAGAAAAAUAAUCAAUUUCUGUAGUUUGAUCAUCCUGAAACUUUGCUUAACACAUUUAAUAGUGGAUUCCUUAGGAUUGUCCAUAGAAAAGCUAUUCCUUAGGGUUUUCUAUAUAAAAGAUAAUGUCAUUUGAAACUAGAGAUAGUUUUACUUCUCUCUUUGUAAUCUGGGUGUCUUUCAUUUCUUUUUCUUAUCUAAUUACUCUGUCUAGAACUACCAGUGCAAUGCUGAAUAGAGAUGGUGAGAGUAGUCAUCCUUGUUCUUGUUCUUUUUCUUAAAGGGUAAAGUUAUGAUAUUCACUGUGAGACUAUAGAUGCCUUUGAUCAAGUAGAUUCCCUUGAAUCUAGUUUCCCUUUAAAAGGGAAAAGAUUCCCUUUUAUUUCUAGUUUAUUGAAUUUUUUUUUCAUGAAAGGGUGUUGAAUAUUAUCAAAUGCUUUUUCUGUGUCUGUUAAGAUUGUCAUGUGGUUCUUGUCCUUUUCCCUCACCAUUCUUCAGAUUAUAUAAUCUCUAUUGCUCUAUCUCAGGUAUAUGCACAGUUUCUCUGGCCUCCUUCCCCAGGGACAGUACAGUUUUAGCCAGUUCUCUUUGACUGAACCCUCUAAGCUUCAGUCUGGUUAUCACAUCUACCAGUUAGUUUCCACUGAUUGAUAGCUGAUUCCUCUAUUGCUUUUGACAAUACCCUGGGUCAUAAAUUGCCCCAUAGUCUGAUCUAGAUAAAGCUAGCCUCCUCUGCAGGAAUAGUCUUUGAGGUUUGAUUUACUUCAUCAGGGCUCUUUUUAGCUAUCUUGCUCUUUGUUUUCCUGUCAUAGUUCUAGCUGCUCAACAAUUUGUCCUGUUGUUAUUAAGGAGACUCUCCCUAAUUGUUCACCUCUGAGAACUUUACUGCUUUCAUUAAUGCUCUUGGACUUGAACUUCCUCAUGCUGUUACAAAUAAAGGGAUGCUUUUCCUGAUUUCUUUUUUUUUUUUUUAAGAUUCUAUUUAUUUAUUCAUGAGAGACACACAGAAAGAGGCAGAAACACAGGCAGGGGGAGAAGCAGGCUUCCUAGGGGGAGCCUGAUGUGGGACUCAAUCCCAGGAACCCAGUAUCAAUCCCUGAGCUGAAAGCAGAUGCUCAACUACUUAGCCACUCAGGCAUCCCCCCGAUUUCUUUAUUUAAGUUGAUAUCACUCUCUCUCUUCAUUUGCCUUGCUUUAUUUUUUUUCAUAGCCCUUACAUUGACCCAAUAUUCUAUUACAUAUGUGUUUAUUUUAUCUAUCUCCACCAUUAGAACAGAAGCUCCUUGAGGGUAGCGUAAUGCUGUAUACCUAGUUCUUAGAAGAAUCCUUAGCAUAUAGUAGACAUAAUAAAUAAUGGGUAAAUAAGUGAUGCAGUGAAUAGUGAGGGAAUAAAUGUCAACAAAUACCACUAUCAAAAAAGGAUGAGGGAAAAUUUAUAGCAAGAGUCUAGCAUUUGCAUAGAGAUGACUAUUCAGAGAACCUUUGAAGUUUACAAUAACACAACAGUGUUGAGAAAAUGACAGGUAGAGUGGGAUGAGCAGGCCUAAUGCUCUAAAAGAAAAUAAACUCAAAAAUAAUAACGAUGAUAGCACUAAUUAUAGUAACAACACAACUCACACAAAGUGAUGCUUAAAGUGGACCAAGCCCCAUG